rnacentral:rRNA from 1 species
UACGUAGGGUGCAAGCGUUAUCCGGAAUUAUUGGGCGUAAAGAGCUCGUAGGCGGUUUGUCGCGUCUGCUGUGAAAACCCGAGGCUCAACCUCGGGCCUGCAGUGGGUACGGGCAGACUAGAGUGCGGUAGGGGAGAUUGGAAUUCCUGGUGUAGCGGUGGAAUGCGCAGAUAUCAGGAGGAACACCGAUGGCGAAGGCAGAUCUCUGGGCCGUAACUGACGCUGAGGAGCGAAAGCGUGGGGAGCGAUCCGG